CCCUUCGAUACUCUGGGCGGCACGCGCGCUACAAUGAGUCGUUUAAUCUGUCACGCUUCCGAAGUGGAUCUGUGAAUCAGUAAUGCGUUCUCAUGAGUGGGAUAGUCUUCUGAAAUUUCCAGACUUGAAAAAGGAAUCCCUUGUAAGCUUGCUAAAGAACAGCAAGUUGAAUACGUCCCUGUGGAAUGUAUGCACCGCCCGUCGUUUCUUCCGACUGAUACUUAAUGUGAAUUACGGGGAAUAAUUCAACCGUCGUGAAUGAUGAGUAUUGGAGGAAGAAAAAGUCGUAACA
rnacentral:rRNA from 1 species